CAGUAGCCGCGGUAAUACGUAGGUGGCAAGCGUUGUCCGGAAUUAUUGGGCGUAAAGGGCUCGCAGGCGGUUUCUUAAGUCUGAUGUGAAAGCCCCCGGCUCAACCGGGGAGGGUCAUUGGAAACUGGGAAACUUGAGUGCAGAAGAGGAGAGUGGAAUUCCACGUGUAGCGGUGAAAUGCGUAGAGAUGUGGAAGAACACCAGUGGCGAAGGCGACUCUCUGGUCUGUAACUGACGCUGAGGAGCGAAAGCGUGGGGAGCGAACAGGAUUAGAUACCCCCGUAGUCCCUGUCUCUUAUAC
rnacentral:rRNA from 1 species